GAUGAAGAACGUAGCGAAAUGCGAUAAGUAGUGUGAAUUGCAGAAUUCAGUGAAUCAUCGAAUCUUUGAACGCACAUUGCGCCCCUUGGUAUUCCAUGGGGCAUGCCUGUUCGAGCGUCAUUUGUACCUUCAAGCUCUGCUUGGUGUUGGGUGUUUGUCUCGCCUCUGCGUGUAGACUCGCCUUAAAACAAUUGGCAGCCGGCGUAUUGAUUUCGGAGCGCAGUACAUCUCGCGCUUUGCACUCAUAACGACGACGUCCAAAAGUACAUUUUUACCCUCUUGACCUCGGAUCAGGUAGGGAUACCCGCUGAACUUAAGCAUAUCAAUAAGCGGAGGA
rnacentral:misc_RNA from 1 species